rnacentral:lncRNA from 1 species
GGAGCACGAGCCGAGCUCGUCCGGUCAGAGAGGACCGCUAACUCAUUGCCGAUGGAGCACGAGCCGAGCUCGUCCGGUCAGAGAGGACCGCUAACUCAUUGCCGAUGUCUCGGGCCAUCCCGACGAAUCGGGGCAUCCCGUUGUGGCAGGGCAUCCUGACCGUGGUCAGGGUAAGAGAAAUAAACCUGACAUCAUGAGAUAAUCAGGAA